rnacentral:rRNA from 1 species
GACGAACGCUGGCGGCGUGCCUAAUACAUGCAAGUUGAGCGCUGAAGGUUGGUACUUGUACCAACUGGGUGAGCAGCGAACGGGUGAGUAACGCGUGGGGAAUCUGCCUUUGAGCGGGGUACAACAUUUGGAAACGAAUGCUAAUACCGCAUAAAAACUUUAAACACAAGGUUGAAGGUAGAAAGAUGCAAUUGCGUCACUCAAAGACGAUUCCGCGUUGUAUUAGCUAGUUGGUGAGGUAAAGGGGCACCAAGGCGAUGAUAGAUAGCCGACCUGAGAGGGGGGUCAGCCACAUUGGGACUGAGACACGCCCCAAACUCAUACGGGAGGCAGCAGUAGGGAAUCUUCGGCAAUGGACGAAAGUCUUACCGCGCAACGCCGCGUUCGUGAAGAAGGUUUUCGGAUCGGAAAACUCUGUUGGUAGAGAAGAACGUUGGUGAGAGUGGAAAGCUCAGCAAGUGACGGUAACUACUCAGAAAGGGACGGCUAACUACGUG